GGCCUUAUAGUUAAUUUUAAUAUUAGAUUGCAAAUCUAAAGAUGUAAGUAAUUUUUCUAAGGCUU
rnacentral:tRNA from 2 species